AUUACAUAUAAAGAAAUGAAACAGAAGAGCAAUCAAAGGCAAAUCCUAUGGCAAGGGGGGGGAAUCAACAGCAGCAAACAGUGGUGGGAAGGAGAAGCUGAUGGUACAACAGUCAUAUUUAAGCUUCACGGGAUGCCAUCGAGCGACAUGGUAAAGCCAUUGCUGCGUCAUCAAAAUGCAGAGAGCGACCCAAACCUUGCCCCCACUUCCAGUAGCAGGACGGUUGGGAUUCUAGGAAGUGGUGACUUUGCCCGUUCCUUGUCUAUGCGUCUGGUGUGCUCGGGUUUCAAAGUGGUGGUUGGAAGCCGGAACCCGAAGCGCAAUGCCAGCCUCUUCCCUUCAGCCGCGGAAGUAACAUUCCAGGCAGAUGCUGUAAAGAAGACAGACAUUAUCUUUGUGGCAGUUUUCAGAGAACACUAUACCACACUCUGUGAUCUUAGCGAUGAGCUCUCCGGCAAGAUAUUGGUGGAUGUGAGCAACAACACUGAAAUAAACCAUCACAAAGAAUCAAAUGCUGAGUACUUGGCAGCACUUUUCCCAGCAUGCACUGUUGUCAAAGGAUUUAAUGUCAUCUCAGCGUGGACGCUACAGUCGGGCCCUAGAGAUGGCAAUAAGCAGGUCUUCCUUUGUAGUGAUAACCAAGAAGCCAAACAGGCUGUUUCUGAAAUUGCACACAAGCUGGGAUUCACCCCCACGGACAUGGGGUCAUUGUUCUCAGCCCGUGAGAUCGAGAACCUUCCCCUGCGCCUCCUCCCAGCCUGGAGGAUCCCCGUCUUCUUGGCGCUGGGGCUCUUCUUCUGUUUCUAUACCUACAACUUCAUCCGGCAGGUGUUGCAUCCUUACAUUCGGGACAAAAAGAACAAGUUUUACAAGAUGCCCGUGGAGGUUGUCAACACCACUCUGCCUUGCGUCGCCUACGUCAUGCUGUCCCUCGUCUACCUGCCCGGAGUGCUUGCAGCCAUCUUUCAGCUGUACCACUGUACAAAGUACAAGCGUUUCCCAGACUGGCUCGACCAGUGGCUACAACACAGGAAGCAAAUCGGCCUCCUGAGCUUCUUCUGUGCCGCUUUGCAUGCUGUUUACAGCUUGUGUCUUCCUAUGAGACGGUCCCAUCGUUACCUGCUACUCAGCGAGGCCGUCAAGCAGGUGGAGAAGAAAACGGAUGCCUGGGUAGAGGAGGAGGUCUGGAGGAUGGAGAUCUACAUUUCAUUUGGUAUCAUGGCCCUGGGCUUGCUCUCCUUACUUGCCAUUACUUCGCUUCCUUCCAUCGCCAACUCUCUCAACUGGAGGGAAUUCAGUUUCAUUCAGUCUACCCUCGGCUUUGUUGCUCUGUUGGUGAGCACCCUCCACACCUUGACCUACGGCUGGGCAAGGGCCUUUGAUGAAAGCCAGUACAAGUUCUACCUGCCUCCCACCUUUACCCUCACUCUGCUGGUACCAUGUGUUGUCAUCUUGGCUAAACUUUUCUUUCAUCUUCCAUGUAUGAACCAAAGACUGUGGCGUAUUAGGAAUGGGUGGGAAAGGGGCAGGUACGUCAAAUUCACCUUGCCCAGAGCGAUGGGGGAGUUUUCAAGUGGAGAAAGCAGCAGCACUGUGUGACUCAGCACCUUUUUUUUCCAUUACAGUUUUCACAGCACUAUGAAGAUUCUGGGUUGUUGGUUUUUUUUUAAUUAAAGCUUGUAAGAUGGGUACAUUGACUGGUGAGUGAGAACAAUUACCCUAUUUGGGAUUCCCCCCCAAAAAAAAAAAACAUUUACCAGUGUAGCCAGUUCAUUUAGAGCAAGCUGGAAAUUCUUGUAACAAAAAAAAUGGUAGCCUUAAAACAUCAGUGCAAAGUUUCAGCUAUACCAUUGUAAAGAUACACAGAUGAAACAACUCUGUGGACAAACAACAGAGCCAUGUUCAGUGUAAUGGUGGAUACAACUUGGAAAGUAUUUUCUCUGUAGAAGUCUUGACUCCUAGCUGUGUAUUUCUUUUCUUAAGAAAUGCAGUAGAUUUACUCAGGCAUAAGCCCACACUGGACACACACUUUUGAUUUAAAAUUAUUAGGAUUACAUUUUCAGCUAUUCCUCUUGGUUCACAUCUACCAGAAUGAUUUUGUUUGAGCAAAUGACUGGUGAAAUUUCCAGCAAACAAGUUUCUUUUAGCAGAAUUAACUUCUAGCUGAGCAUAAUCGGGAUAAAAGCCUUCAGAGGUCACGUCAAGCACCAAAGUGUUAAUUCUGGUAGAAUGAAUUCUCAGAAAUACUAAUAGCUAGUAUAGAAAUACUCUGUCUGAGACUGGAAUUACACAUUAUGUUAGAUACACUACUGACACUAAAACAACCACUCCUAUUCCUCCUAAUGUAGUAUUUUUCAUUUCUGCACCUAGCCUAAUCAGCAGAUGCUGGCAGAGAGUUUCAGAUCAUGUAAUGUUUUAGAAGCAGAAUUCAGUGUAGAGUUUGCUGCACAUUGAAUUGUUAGACGUAAUUCCAGCCUUAUUUUCUCCAUUACAUACAGCAAAUUCACACCUUAUGUUCU